AUGGCUCGCAAGAAGGUGGCCCUCCGGUACAUCCUCGAUAAAAAUUCCAGAUGUAGUACUUCAAAGAAGCGGCGUGAGGGCCUACGGAAGAAGGCGGAGGAGUUGGCCAUCAUGUGCAAUGCCAAGGCAUGUGUGCUAGUAUAUGGCGAGGGCGAGGUGGUACCACAAGUGUUCCCGUCCCCCGCUGAGGCGGUGCCUGUCCUGAACCGGUAUAUGAAUAUGCCGGAGGGCAACUUCAAGAAGACGGUGAAUCAUGCAAGCUUUCUCAAUCAACAUUUUGGCAAGCUCCAGGCCAAGGGCCACAAGCUCCAAGACAUCUGUGAAGACAAUGAGACCAGAAUCCUCCUGCACAAGGUCAUGCUCAGAAGCAACCUCUCGAGCCUUGAUGGCCUCAACAUCGAGGAUCUCACCAAUGUUGGCCGAAAGCUAGAGGUGAUCCUCCAGAGCAUGGGGGAAAGCAUCACAACAAUUAGCGGCCAACCACCUGUCUUCCAGUCCCAGGAGCCAUACGUCACCAACACCAUGGACAUGGGGUCUCCAGCAAUGUAUCACGCACCACCACCAGCUCCAUACGUCACCAACUACAUGCAUGUGGAGUCUCCGUCGACUUAUCAGGCACCACCAGCUCCAUACAUCACUCACAACAUGGACAUGGGGUCUUCGAUGAUGUAUCCGACAGCAUCACCAGCUCCCUAUGUCACUAGUGGCAUGGACAUGGGGCCUUCCACAAUGUUUAAGGCUCUGCCGCAGCAACAAGAGGAUGCACUUGACAUGAUGAGGUAUGGAGGAGACCUCAACGCCCUGGUCUAUAGUGGCUACAAUUCUAGUGGUCGUAAUGACACCGGCACAAGCACUGUCUUCCCUAGCGGUGAUAUUGACCCGAAGAGGUCGUUUGAGGUGGGGUUCGGUUGGCAGUUCGGUGGCGCUGAUCCUGAAGCGUCUUCUUCAAGUCCUUUCUUCCCAAUGUAA
rnacentral:rRNA from 1 species